AUGGGAGUCCGAGAAAAGGGCGGUUUUCGACCGAGGGAUUGGACAUUUUCCUCGGGGAUGAUUAUAGAAAGGGAAAACGCGGUUCCCGGCGAUCGAUAGCGUGGGAGGAGGCGGGUCUUAGGACCCAAAUAAAUAGCGGGCGCUUUUUGGAGAACAGAGAGUUCAUCGGACAGUUCCUUUGAGACAGUUCAUCAGUAGAGUUCAGUCUAAUAGUUCUUUGAAGAGUAUUCUUGAUUCAGAUCACAUUAGUUGUGCGAGACAGUUCUCUUGAGUCAGUUCAACCAAACAGUCUCAACGUGUCGCUACCAGCCGUCCGAACAGGUAGGUAAUAAAAUAAUUUGACAAACAUUUGUGCCUUCUUCACUCUCCCUUCACGAUUCACUCGCUAACACUCGUGUGAGUGUUAACAAGUAGAUUCCUAUACAGAAUGUAACUGCAUUUUGGCUUUUCGACCUAAAUACACUGUCCUUGACUCGCAACGCGUUCGAUAUCCGCGAAUCCCUUUGCGUAAAGAACUUCACGUAAUUGUUGUAAAUAGAGGACGUUCCUCAAGUUUCUUAAGGCAUCGCUAUAACUUGUAGGGAUUCUAUUUGCAUUCGAAAGCGGCUCUGCGUUAGGCAAAGUAAUAAUGAUGACAGACAGAUUAUUAUUAUCAUUCCCAUUGCCUUUUUUCCUUGGAAAAGUUAGGGUAGCUGGAUAGCGAACAUACAAAUGGUAAACAAAGACUUAAUGAUUCGCGGCCACUGGGUCAGAUUCCCACUAUACAGGGUGUCAAAUUAACAAAGUUUUUGCAAAAUAAAAAUUUUCUCUAGAACAAUUAUUCAAGUUUCUAAUGAUUCAAGAUGAGAGAGGUUGCACUGCUCUUCAUCGUGCUUUGAACGAUAAUUCUUGUGAUACGCGGCUUCAGUAUAUGGCAGUUCAAUUAAUUUUAAAUACAGCACAAUCAAAAUUUUCUCCACAACAAUUAUUUGAUUUUUUUAGUGAUUCGACAUAAGAGAGAUUACACCGCUCUACAUGGUCAUCAUCUUAACAAGUUUACGGUUGUUCGAAGCCAGAAAGGAAUAUUAUUAAAUAUAGCGCAGGAUCGAAAUAAUCAGGAUCUUAUCGAUCUGUUUAAUUUCCAAAGCAUGAAACAUCAGAAACUGACCAUGCAGUUUUUGAAAGCUGUAGUGAUGAUAGUCCUGGAAUUCUGGUUCACAGUCGUAAGAAGCCAGCGAGAUUGGAUUAAUUACUAUUAAAUCAUUUGAAAUAACAGAAACGUUUCUGUGAACCAUGACAAAUCGUCAACGGUUAUUGUUAUUACAGCGCAGGAAUUUUUGCUUGUUAAAUUUACGGUAUAAAGUUCCGAACCGUCCUAGAGUCUACACUAAACAGAAAAGUUAGGCACGUAAAACAUUUCAGUUUCUUCAAUAUUGUAGCUUCAACGAAGCCUGUCGUAUAUGUAUAAAUCUAGUGCACUCAAGAUUUCUGUGUGAAAAAAUUAUUUUUAGCACUCUUUUAUUUUUCACGGCUACAUUCUGCAAGGGGAAAAUCAGAAAAAAUUCUCAGAUAUGUCCAGCUACACUAGGAACAAAUUUUUUCAGAUUUUUUGCAAGGCGUUAAAUAAGGAAAAAUUUCAAAAAACUGAUUUUUCGAAUUUUCCCAAUUACUACCCCGCUGAUUGAGAUAUAAGGCUAAAAAUUGGAGUGCGUGUCUAUUUUCUGAUAAACUAUCGAAUGGCGCAAGCGGCGCUAUAAACUGACCUUUUGGGACGAACAGCGGUGGUCUGACCCGUACAUUUGGUCGAUCUCUCGAGCUAGACAAAAUUUCACUGGGGCCCUUCGAAGUCUCCGAUGUUUACAUGCUUUUAGUAUAGGUUGGAAACUUGGUUGUCGGCCCUGGUCGAACUUAAGUUACUUUGGCGAUAUACGACAGUGAAGAUGAACAGAAACUUCGAGCUACCAGCCAAAAGCCAAGGCUGCUAUGAUUGCAGCUCUGAGAGCCGCGUAAGCAGAUGCGAGCGCACCGGAUUCGCACGAGUGCGGCGAACCACGAUAUAUGGAACGAUUAAUAUGCAUCCACUAGAGCUACCGAACAUAUCGUGGCUGGGGUGCCCGGGGAGGGCAUAAUAUAUCGGAUAUGUUAUCGAUCAUAUGUGUAAGUGUAAAGGGUGCUUCUCGUUGACUCGCGUCCCUGAUCUGGUAUCUCUGACCUCCGGUAGAUCUGACUGCAGGCCUGACAAAAAUCUGACAUCAAUCUGGAAUCAGGCCUGACAUCAGGCUUGGCGUUAUUCUGUUACCAUACUGGCGAUAAGCCUGACAUUACCAUCUAACGGUAGAUAGCGAGCAGUCUGCUGCCAAUCGGCUGCCAGACUGUCAUCAGAUGUUGAAGUCAGGGAUUGGCGCAUUCUGCUGCCAGUCUGCCGUUAAAUCCUGCAGCAUGCCUAACGGAAUCCUGCCACUUGAAGAUUUGGCUGACUGGGUUACGGUCGGCUCGAAAAACACCGCACCGCACUGCACGCUCUGUGAGGAUCUUUGACUAUAUAAGAUACAGUUCCGAUUAACACAUGCUUCCGACGGCGUAUAUGCAAAAGAACAUACCUAUAAAGACAAGAGAGCAGUAUCCAGGUGAAGAUUUGGUUUCAGAAUAGGAAAAUGAGCAACCGGUGGCAGCCAGGAUAGAAUUAAAUCCAGAGGAAACAGAAGAUUUGGAUUACCUCAUCUCACAUAUGCUUCUGACGGCGUGUACACAGAAGAAUGUACCUAUAAAGACAAGAGAGCAGUUUCCAGGUGAAAAUCUGGUUUCAGAAAAGGAAAAUGGGCAACCCGUAGCAGCCAGGAUAGAAUUAAAUCUAGAAUAAAUAGAAGAGCUACAAUACGGUAUCUCACAUACGCUUCCAGCGGCGUACGGCAGAAGAACAUACUGACGAAAACGAGAAAGCAAUCACCUAUUUCUGGUGGCCAUCGGUGAGAAACGCAGCCGCUGCAGCCAAUUCAACUAACCAUGGAAUAUAGCACUGACUUCCGACAGUUGUUCCCGAUUCGAAAAACCAUCGCAUACAAUUAUCCAACGCUGAAUAAUCGUAUUAAAUCCAAUCAAUUGUUCCACACAAAGUUAAAGAUAAGAGAGCAGCAGCCAAAUGAAGAUCUGGUUUCAAAAUAGGAAAGUGAGCAACCGGUGGCAGCCAGGAUAGAAUUAAAUCCAGAAGAAACAGAAGAUUUGGAUUACGUCGUCUCACAUAUGCUUCCGACGGCGUAUACACAAAGAACGUACUUAUAAAGACAAGAGAGCAGUUUCCAGGUGAAAAUCUGGUUCCAGAAAAGGAAAAUGAGCAACCGGUGGCAGCCCGGAUAGAAUUGAAUCUAGAAUAAAUAGAAGAGCUGGAAUACGGUAUCUCACACUUCACGUUUCCAGCGGCGUAUGGCAAAAGAACAUACUGACAAAAACGAGAAAGCAAUCACCUAUUUCUGGUGGCCAUCGGUGAGAAACGCAGCCGCUGCAGCCAAUUCAACUAACCAUGGAAUAUAGCAGAUCCGUAUACAGAAUGUAAUUGGAUUUGGGAUUUGGGAACACGUCUGAUAAUGCAUCAGUGAUAUUUGGGCGCUCUGUUCCUCAUUUUGUUCCAAACUCAAACUGAAAUAUCCUUUCGUCAAUGUGCCGAACCCCAGUACUUAAACAUAAUACACAUGGGCAACAAUGAUAUUUUGAGCAGGUCACCGACAGACAUGGCCAUGCGUUUUACUUUCGAAUUGACCCACUGAAACUCUUCUAGGAGUAAGUGAACUUAGAGACGAACGACUAAAUCGAACUCUAAUUGUUUUCCCACUUUUUAUAAUUCUAGCGACUCUGUAAUUUAUAAAAUUGUUAGUUAUUUGAUUGA